rnacentral:rRNA from 1 species
GUGGGGAAUAUUGGACAAUGGGGGGAACCCUGAUCCAGCCAUGCCGCGUGUGUGAAGAAGGCCUUUUGGUUGUAAAGCACUUUAAGCGAGGAGGAGGCUUACCUGGUUAAUACCUGGGAUACGUGGACGUUACUCGCAGAAUAAGCACCGGCUAACUCUGUGCCAGCAGCCGCGGUAAUACAGAGGGUGCAAGCGUUAAUCGGAUUUACUGGGCGUAAAGCGCGCGUAGGUGGCCAAUUAAGUCAAAUGUGAAAUCCCCGAGCUUAACUUGGGAAUUGCAUUCGAUACUGGUUGGCUAGAGUAUGGGAGAGGAUGGUAGAAUUCCAGGUGUAGCGGUGAAAUGCGUAGAGAUCUGGAGGAAUACCGAUGGCGAAGGCAGCCAUCAGGCCUAAUACUGACACUGAGGUGCGAAAGCAUGGGGAGCAAACAGGAUUAGAUACCCCGGUAGUCC